rnacentral:rRNA from 1 species
UUGUAGCCUGCUAUGGUAUAACUUAGUGGCAGACGGGUGAGUAAUAUAUAGGAAUCUACCUAGUAGUACGGAAUGAUUGUUGGAAACGGCAACUAAUACCGUAUACGCCCUACGGGGGAAAAAUUUAUUGCUAUUAGAUGAGCCUAUAUUAGAUUAGCUAGUUGGUGGAGUAAUAGCCUACCAAGGCAAUGAUCUAUAGCUGAUCUGAGAGGAUGAUCAGCCACACUGGAACUGAGAUACGGUCCAGACUCCUACGGGAGGCAGCAGUGGGGAAUAUUGGACAAUGGGCGAAAGCCUGAUCCAGCCAUGCCGCAUGAGUGAAGAAGGCCUUUGGGUUGUAAAGCUCUUUUAGUGAGGAAGAUAAUGACGGUACUCACAGAAGAAGUCCUGGCUAACUCCGUGCCAGCAGCCGCGGUAAUACGGAGAGGGCUAGCGUUAUUCGGAAUUAUUGGGCGUAAAGGGCGCGUAGGCUGGUUGGUAAGUUAAAAGUGAAAUCCCGAGGCUUAACCUUGGAACUGCUUUUAAAACUGCUAACCUAGAGAUUGAAAGAGGAUAGAGGAAUUCCUAGUGUAGAGGUGAAAUUCGUAAAUAUUAGGAGGAACACCAGUGGCGAAGGCGUCUAUCUGGUUCAAAUCUGACGCUGAGGCGCGAAGGCGUGGGGAGCAAACAGGAUUAGAUACCCUGGUAGUCCACGCUGUAAACGAUGAAUGUUAAAUAUGGGAAGUUUACUUUCUGUAUUACAGCUAACGCGUUAAACAUUCCGCCUGGGGACUACGGUCGCAAGAUUAAAACUCAAAGGAAUUGACGGGGACCCGCACAAGCGGUGGAGCAUGUGGUUUAAUUCGAUGCAACGCGAAAAACCUUACCACUCCUUGACAUGAAAAUCAUACCUAUUC